AUGCAGGGUUUCAAAUGUUUUUUAAAGUAAUUGUUGUUUUUCUUUCUGUCUAGGUGUUAAACUUCUUGGGGCCAGGCACUGUGUCUGCAAACGCCUACGGUGGCGAACGCAAAGGAGACGUCUGGUGAACACCCGUGGGAUCUAAAGAAAAAGUAAUCACAUAUGUAUCCUCCAUCCUUUUAUAAAACUGGACUUAAUGUGUAGAAAAGUUCAGAAGAAAAAGGUGAGCUUCUAGAUAGCCCUUUUGAGGGCACCGCUGAAGUUAUUAUAGAAACAUUUGGAGUCUUACACAAGACAAGGAAUCUAAAUUGCACAACAUAGCCACGUUUCCAUCUAGACUGUGAGAACCAAGUGUUAUCUUGGGAUCAUGGAGGAGUCAUUUAAAA
rnacentral:lncRNA from 1 species